AGCGAACGCUGGCGGCAUGCUUAACACAUGCAAGUCGAACGAUGGCUUCGGCCAUAGUGGCGCACGGGUGAGUAACGCGUGGGAACCUGCCCUUCGGUACGGAAUAACGUCGGGAAACUGACGCUAAUACCGUAUACGGUCUUCGGACGAAAGAUUUAUCGCCGAAGGAGGGGCCCGCGUCCGAUUAGGUAGUUGGUGAGGUAACGGCUCACCAAGCCUGCGAUCGGUAGCUGGUCUGAGAGGAUGAUCAGCCACACUGGGACUGAGACACGGCCCAGACUCCGACGGGAGGCAGCAGUGGGGAAUAUUGGACAAUGGGGGAAACCCUGAUCCAGCGAUGCCGCGUGAGUGAUGAAGGCCUUCGGGUUGUAAAGCUCUUUUGUCCGGGACGAUGAUGACGGUACCGGAAGAAUAAGCCCCGGCUAACUUCGUGCCAGCAGCCGCGGUAAAAC
rnacentral:rRNA from 1 species